AGAGUUUGAUUCUGGCUCAGGACGAACGCUGGCGGCGUGCCUAAUACAUGCAAGUCGAGCGAGCUGAACCAGCAGAUUCACUUCGGUGAUGACGCUGGGAACGCGAGCGGCGGAUGGGUGAGUAACACGUGGGUAACCUGCCCUAAAGUCUGGGAUACCACUUGGAAACAGGUGCUAAUACCGGAUAACAACAAUAGCUGCAUGGCUAUUGCUUAAAAGGCGGCGAAAGCUGUCGCUAAAGGAUGGACCCGCGGUGCAUUAGCUAGUUGGUAAGGUAAUGGCUUACCAAGGCGACGAUGCAUAGCCGAGUUGAGAGACUGAUCGGCCACAUUGGGACUGAGACACGGCCCAAACUCCUACGGGAGGCAGCAGUAGGGAAUCUUCCACAAUGGGCGAAAGCCUGAUGGAGCAACGCCGCGUGAGUGAAGAAGGUUUUCGGAUCGUAAAGCUCUGUUGUUGGUGAAGAAGGAUAGAGGUAGUAACUGGCCCCUAUUUGACGGUAAUCAACCAGAAAGUCACGGCUAACUACGUGCCAGCAGCCGCG
rnacentral:rRNA from 1 species